UACGUAGGGCGCAAGCGUGUCCGGAAUUAUUGGGCGUAAAGAGCUCGUAGGCGGUCUGUCGCGUCGGCUGUGAAAACCCGAGGCUCAACCUCGGGCCUGCAGUCGAUACGGGGCAGACUAGAGUGCUGUAGGGGAGACUGGAAUUCCUGGUGUAGCGGUGAAAUGCGCAGAUAUCAGGAGGAACACCGGUGGCGAAGGCGGGUCUCUGGGCAGUAACUGACGUGGAGGAGCGAAAGCGUGGGGAGCAAACAGG
rnacentral:rRNA from 1 species